AGAGCCAUGGUGUCAAUGGUAGCAUGACGGUCUCCAAAACCGUUGGUAGUGGUUCGAAUCCACUUGGCUCUGCCA
rnacentral:tRNA from 1 species